GGACUACUGGGGUUUCUAAUCCUGUUUGCUCCCCACGCUUUCGCGCAUCAGCGUCAGUCUCGGUCCAGUGAGCCGCCUUCGCCACCGGUGUUCUUCCCAAUAUCUACGAAUUUCACCUCUACACUGGGAAUUCCACUCACCUCUCCCGAACUCAAGCAUCGGAGUAUCAAGCGCAAUUCCCAGGUUGAGCCCGGGGCUUUCACGCCUGACUUCCAAUACCGCCUACGCGCCCUUUACGCCCAGUAAUUCCGAACAACGCUAGCCCCCUUCGUAUUACCGCGGCUGCUGGCAC
rnacentral:rRNA from 1 species